UACGGAGGGUGCAAGCGUUAUCCGGAUUCACUGGGUUUAAAGGGUGCGUAGGCGGACCGGUAAGUCCGUGGUGAAAUCUCUGGGCUUAACCCAGAAACUGCCGUGGAUACUAUCGGUCUUGAAGGCUGUGGAGGUGAGCGGAAUAUGUCAUGUAGCGGUGAAAUGCUUAGAGAUGACAUAGAACACCGAUAGCGAAGGCAGCUUGCUACACAAUCAUUGACACUGAGGCACGAAAGCGUGGGGAUCAAACAGG
rnacentral:rRNA from 1 species